rnacentral:rRNA from 1 species
ACACAUGCAAGUCGAACGGUACAUUUCUAGCUUGCUAGAAGAUGACGAGUGGCGGACGGGUGAGUAAUGCUUGGGAACUUGCCUUUGCGAGGGGGAUAACAGUUGGAAACGACUGCUAAUACCGCAUAAUGUCUUCGGACCAAACGGGGCUUUUAGCUCCGGCGCAAAGAGAGGCCCAAGUGAGAUUAGCUAGUUGGUAAGGUAACGGCUUACCAAGGCGACGAUCUCUAGCUGUUCUGAGAGGAAGAUCAGCCACACUGGGACUGAGACACGGCCCAGACUCCUACGGGAGGCAGCAGUGGGGAAUAUUGCACAAUGGGGGAAACCCUGAUGCAGCCAUGCCGCGUGUGUGAAGAAGGCCUUCGGGUUGUAAAGCACUUUCAGUUGUGAGGAAAAGUUAGUAGUUAAUACCUGCUAGCCGUGACGUUAACAACAGAAGAAGCACCGGCUAACUCCGUGCCAGCAGCCGCGGUAAUACGGAGGGUGCGAGCGUUAAUCGGAAUUACUGGGCGUAAAGCGCACGCAGGCGGUUUGUUAAGCUAGAUGUGAAAGCCCCGGGCUCAACCUGGGAUGGUCAUUUAGAACUGGCAGACUAGAGUCUUGGAGAGGGGAGUGGAAUUCCAGGUGUAGCGGUGAAAUGCGUAGAUAUCUGGAGGAACAUCAGUGGCGAAGGCGACUCCCUGGCCAAAGACUGACGCUCAUGUGCGAAAGUGUGGGUAGCGAACAGGAUUAGAUACCCUGGUAGUCCACACCGUAAACGCUGUCUACUAGCUGUGUGUGCC